rnacentral:lncRNA from 1 species
UUAGGCGAAUCUGUUUUCAUUACUUGAAUCAACUUCACUGAACUGAAUCGAUUAUCCGUAAAAAGGAAGUAUCAGUUUGAUGAAGAUUAAGGCGUUUCCCCACCUUUAGUAUACAUCCGAUGAAAGUGGUGAACCGGGAUGUGUAUAAAUGGCAAGAAAAAUGCCCAAUCAUAGGGCGAUUCUACACAUUAAGUGAAAUAACAUCAAGACAAAUACCCGGCAUAUUAGAAAUACUCAAGGGCUCUACUCUUCUGAGAGACCAUUCAGUGCUGUGA